AGUCUCAGAUUCUCUUUGUGGAUCAUCGGCAUCACCAGAAGCAAACCAAUAACGGAAGGGUUUGUCAAGAUUGAAGAACUGAAGUUCAGUUCAUUGGAGCUUGAAGAAGAACUGGUCAGAGACUCAGAGUUGGUUUAAGAAGAACUAAGAAGGGUUUGUCAAGAUUGAAGAACUGAAGUUCAGUUCAUUGGAGCUUGAAGAAGAACUGGUCAGAGACUCAGAGUUGGUUUAAGAAGAACUAAGAAGGGUUUGUCAAGAUUGAAGAACUGAAGUUCAGUUCAUUAGAGUUUGAAGAAGAACUAAUCAGAGUUGGUUUAGGAAAACUAAGAAGGUGUCGGUGGGGUAGUGACUUAUGUAACAAAUUCAACUAAUCAGAGUUGGUUUAGGAAAACUAAGAAGGUUACCAUGGUUGAAAUCUCAGAAGAUGAUUCUGCUUCUAAUCUUCCAAUUAUACAUGGAGUGGCAUCACAAAUGGGACCUCCCCCUCCACGUCCACCGCGUUCUGGACAAGUGCAUGGACCAUCAGCAGGGACAGGGAGUACCGCUGGCUCAUCUACCCUUGGAGUCGAGGAGGAGGAGAUUGAUAUUGCUGAGUCUGAGCUAUUCAGUUUCAGUGACCUUGCUUCUUCUUCUAUCGUCAUAGACUCAUAGACAAGGCUUUCAGCCAUUCGGAGGUAAAACAUCCACAAACUUGCAGGCUUGCAGCGACUCGCUGUUGGUCGCUUUAUAUGAUAUUAGGCUUUAGUAUAGUACGCAAUACUCAAUAGUAAUGCACUCUUUUAUCUUUUGAGCUUUGAACAAUUGAACUCUGUUCCUUUUUAUUGUUAGCUUUA